rnacentral:rRNA from 1 species
UACGGAGGGUGCAAGCGUUAUCCGGAAUCACUGGGUUUAAAGGGUGCGUAGGCGGUAUUUUAAGUCAGAAGUGAAAGCUCACAGCUCAACUGUGGAAUUGCUUUUGAUACUGGAAUACUUGAAUCAAGUUGAGGUUGGCGGAAUGUGACAUGUAGCGGUGAAAUGCAUAGAUAUGUCAUAGAACACCAAUUGCGAAGGCAGCUGACUAGACUUGUAUUGACGCUGAGGCACGAAAGCGUGGGGAGCGAACAGG